GACCACCACUCUCAACUGGACUGCAACCAUCACUCGUACCACCAGGUUCUUCCUCUCCUUUUACUUUUGGACUCAGGGGGCCCACAUCGGAAGAGCAC